CUGGCGGGCACAGGAGCCCGCGGUGCCCGGGCCGCUCCGCCGCUCCCCGUGGGCCGUGUCCACGGGCGCUGCCGCAGCGUGUCCUGCCCGCGCGGAACGCGCUCGUGGGGCGGCGCGGCGCUAGCGAGUCCCGCGGGCCGGCGCCGCGGGUGUGAAAGCGGCUCGUGGCGUGGCAGCCGCUACCUCCGCGUGACUGGAGGUCCAGGGGCUCCAGAUUCUGGUGCAUCGAGCACUCGGGGGUGCGUCCUUAAGUGAUAAUUAGCACCUACACAAGAAAUCAAAUCCAUUUCACAGAGAUAAAUGAGUUUUCCCAUCACUUCUGUGACCCAGCCAGCCUGCCUUGUGUCAUUGCUUGAUGCUGGGGUGCAGAAACCCCCAUCUCCCCGCAGGGCUGAGCGGUGAGGAGUCCCAGGGCCGGUGUCUCCACUCAUUGGAACAGACAAAGCACCUCAGUUUUAGGCCAGGAAUAAAUUCUGGUGACACAAAUGCUGUCGUAACUGGGUGCCUCAGCACAUACCAAGGGAAAAUUAACCUCUGUGCCGCGCCGUUCAAUUUAGUGAGUCAAUGGGCACGUCUACCUGUGCCAUUAACCCUGUCAUUGGAAUAAAUCGCCACAAGUGAGGAUUUUCCUAUCCUUGCGUUCUCCAGUAAAUAGUGACUUCUCUGGCUCACGCAAGACUUGCCUCUAAAGCUGCAAAAUUGCCCACGUUACUGUUUUCGGAGAAAGAAGUACAUGCAAAAGUUUCUGCCAUGGCCCCGCUGAGCCGAGGCGGCCGAGGUGCUUCCCGGCGAGAUGGGCUUUGCACUGAAGUGAUCAACAGGCAGAGAGGGGACAUGGACGACACGCCAGCUGAGACAGCAAACACCCAGAAAGAAGAGAGAGCGGGGCGGAGUGCUCGCUGUCACCAGGACACCACGCUGCUGCUGCCCGGGUGGAACUUCGGCAAAUGACAGAAGCAGUAAAAUGAUUCAUUCUGUAGUACGCGGACACGUGUGUUGCUUUAGUUAAUCCCUUCUAGCUGAAUCUAUAGUUCUGAAUAGUGAGGAAGAUGCUGGAAAGAAGGAAUCUCUGUUCAUUUUUUGGAAAACUUACAAAUUACUGACACUGAAAUACUGUGAUGUUGUCCUGUGCUUUGUUCUCCCGGCAACUCCUUUCGGGCAAAUCAUUUAACCUCUUUUGAGUACUUCUCAAAACAUUGAAAAUUCCAGCAUUUUUAGUUCAUGUUGAUGAACUUUGGUGAUAUUUAUGCUUCAAUAAAUGCCACAAAAAUAAUACUGACAAGUAUUGGAAAAGUUCUCUUUCAAAGCGGUGGUGAAGGCCCGGUGGCUGCGACAGAGUUAACGGUCUGACUGGCCUGUGGUGGUCAGGGCGGACAAGGCGCAUCCCGCCCCCGGGCUGAGGUGCCUUCUCGCACCUUGGCGACACUUCUGUUAUUUGUUCCCAGUGUAACUGGCCCUCCGCAACCUUAUUAUAUUUAUAUAUAAUUAGAUUAAUUUCAGGAUGUGACACUUUUUGGCCAGGUUAGAAAGCGCGCUUAAUUAAAAAUGCUUUGAAAAGGAUUAAUUGACCCCAACUCUCUACUGUAUUUUCCGUAUUCAUUCAAAAUAGGAAACUCUAAGCAAAUUUCAUUAAAUUAAUGUGUGUUCCCUAAAAAAGUGUUCUUAAUGGACGUAAAAGCUACUUACAGUAUCCCAAGACCAGCUUAAAAACAUUGCAGAACCUCAUCGUGGUACAUCUGAAACUGAACAGGAAGUUUCAGUCCUUGUGAUACAUUUUUCUUUAAGAUCUUGAAGUAAUAAAAUGACUUUUCAUAGUGUAACGCAGGAUGUUUCACUGCGUGAUGCUGACAGCGCUCCAGAAUUCGUUACUGAUGUGUAUUUGUGCACUUCAUUCUUCAUUUUCCAUGAACCUGCUCCUCGUGGAGUAAUUUACAUAUGUGCAAAAUGAGUGUUAAAUAGUCAAAUCAGAAUUGUGGCCUUUCUCACUGAGGUUUUACAAGUGCUAACGGUGGAACGGGGUGCAGGGCACGGGGAGAAUGUAGCCUUCAGGCAUGAACCUGA